rnacentral:lncRNA from 1 species
GGGUUUUAUUUGUCCCCUCCUCAGGUUCUUCUGGGUGAACCAGCACCCUUUGUCUUGACCCUCCUCAGUUCAAGCAAAGCCUUUGGAGCCUUAUGAGUGCUUGCAUUAGUGUCCAGCAUGCCUGGAUAGUCACAGAUGUGCCUCUUGCAGCACAGGAAGUCCUUGGGAACCUCAGAGAUCGCUGGUAUCAGGCAGACAAUCCUCCUGCAGACCUGCUGCUGACUGAGGACGAGUUCCUGUCAUUCCUUCACCCUGAGCACAGCCGGGGCAUGCUCAAGUUCAUGGUCAAAGAGAUCGUUCGGGACUUGGGUAAGGCCUUUCCAUACUAGGACACUGUUUCAGGCCUGAGGGU